rnacentral:tRNA from 1 species
AAAUUAAAUUAAAUUAAAUUAAAUUAAAUUUGCAAUUUAAUAUUUAAAUUUAUUUAUA